rnacentral:rRNA from 1 species
CUUGAACAGGUGCUGCAUGGCUGUCGUCAGCUCGUGUCGUGAGAUGUUCGGUUAAGUCCGCUAACGAGCGCAACCCUCGCUGUGUGUUACAAGUGUCACACGGAACUGCCGGUCAUAAACCGGAGGAAGGUGGGGAUGACGUCAAGUCAGCAUGGCCUUUAUAUCCUGGGCUACACACACGCUACAAUGGGAAGGGACAAUAGGUUGCGAAGCCGCGAGGCGGAGCCAAUCCAGCAAAACUUCCCUCAGUUCAGAUUGCAGGCUGCAACUCGCCUGCAUGAAGUUGGAGUUGCUAGUAAACGCAGGUCAGCCAUACUGCGUUGAAUACGUUCCCGGGGCUU